GACGAACGCUGGCGGCGUGCCUAACACAUGCAAGUCGAACGGAGAUACGAUUUCGGUUGUAUCUUAGUGGCGAACGGGUGAGUAACGCGUGAACAACCUGACUCUUAGAGGGGGAUAACACUCGGAAACGGGUGCUAAUACCGCAUAAGACCACGACCAGGCCUCGGGAUGAGGUCAAAGGAGCAAUCCGCUGAGAGAGGGGUUCGCGUCCCAUUAGAUAGAUGGCGGGGUAACGGCCCACCAUGUCAACGAUGGGUAGCCGAGCUGAGAGGCUGAUCGGCCACACUGGAACUGAGACACGGUCCAGACUCCUACGGGAGGCAGCAGUGGGGAAUAUUGGGCAAUGGGCGCAAGCCUGACCCAGCAACGCCGCGUGAAGGAAGAAGGUUUUCGGAUCGUAAACUACUAUCCUAGGUGAAGAUAAUGACGGUAGCCUAGAAGGAAGCCCCGGCUAACUACGUGCCAGCAGCCGCCGUAACAC
rnacentral:rRNA from 1 species